rnacentral:rRNA from 1 species
UAAUACGUAGGAUGCAAGCGUUGUUCGGAAUUACUGGGCGUAAAGAGUACGUAGGCGGUUAUAUAAGUCUGAUAUUAAAGACUGGGGCUCAACUUCAGGAAUGUAUUGGAAACUGUAUGGCUAGAGGUCAGUAGAGGAAGCUGGAAUUCUCAGUGUAGCGGUGAAAUGCGUAGAUAUUGGGAAGAACACCGGUGGCGAAAGCGAGCUUCUGGGCUGAAACUGACGCUGAGGUACGAAAGUGUGGGGAGCAAACGGG